AUUUCUGAUAACCAUGUGACAAUUUUGAUCUCUUUAAAAAGGUAAUAUGUUUAAUUCAGGAAUUGCGAAAAGCCUUGCAGCAGCUACAAGAAGAAUUGCAGAAUAAGAGCCAACAGCUUCGUGCCUGGGAGGCUGAAAAAUACAAUGAGAUUCGAACCCAGGAACAAAACAUCCAGCACCUAAACCAUAGUCUGAGUCACAAGGAGCAGUUGCUUCAGGAAUUUCGGGAGCUCCUACGGUAUCGAGAUAACUCAGACAAAACCCUUGAAGCAAAUGAAACGUUGCUUGAGAAACUUCGCCAGCGAAUACAUGAUAAAGCUGUUGCUCUGGAGAGCACUCCCAGGAGAUGGAAAGCCUGAGGGAGGCUCUGCUGUCCUCUCGAUCCCACCUUCAAGAGCUGGAAGAGGAGCUGGAGCACCAGAAGGUGGAAAGGCAGCAGCUUUUGGAAGACUUGAGGGAGAAGCAGUAAGAGGUCUUGCGUUUAAGGGAGGAACGUCUUUCCCUCCAGGAAAACGACUCCAGACUGAAGCACAAGCUGGUUCUCCUGCAGCAACAGUGUGAAGAGAAACAGCAGCUCUUUGAGUCCCUCCAGUCAGAGUUACAAAUCUACGAGGCACUUUAUGGCAAUUCCAAGAAGGGGAUGAAAGCUUACAGCCUGGAUGUCUGUCACCAAAUCCCUUUGAGCAGUGACCUGAACCACCUGGUGGCAGAGGUAUGAGCUCUGAGAGGGCAGCUGGAGAAGAGCAUUCAGGGGAACAAUUGUCUGUGACUGCAGCUGCAACAGCAGCUGGAUAGCCUGCUGGCAAAGCCAGCCUCAGCCCCUCCUCUGUUAACCAGAACUUCCCAGCCAGCGCUGACCCUGGAAACAAGCAGCUGCUCCUCCAAGAUUCAGCUGUGUCCCCUCCAGUCCGGGAUGUUGGUAUGAAUUCCCCAGCUCUGGUCCUCCCCAGCUCUGCUUCCUCUACUCCUGGCUCAGAAACGGCCAUAAUCAACAGAACACAUGGUGCUAGGCAGCAAAGGCAUUCAUGAGCUUCGGAGCAGCACCAGUGCCCUGCACCAUGCCCUAGAGGAGUCGGCUUCCCUCCUCACCAUGUUCUGGAGAGCGGCCCUGCCAAGCACCCACAUCCCUGUGCUGCCUGGCAAAGUGGGAGAAUCAACAGAAACGGAACUUCUGGAACUGAGAACCAAAGUAUCCAAACAGGAGCGGCUCCUUCAGAGCACAGCUGAGCGUCUGAAGACCGCCAACCAACAGAAGGAGAGCAUGGAGCAGUUCAUCGUCAGCCAGCUAACCAGAACACAUGAUGUUUUAAAGAAGGCAAGGACUAACUUAGAGGUAAGGAAACUACUGCACCAGUCAGAGGCACCAAGCCUGUCCCCCACCCAUCACCAUCCGUUAGCAGAUAUUGUAGGCGACCCUUGGCCUGCUUUGGCCUUCCAGGAGAAGAUUUCCAGUCCACUUUCAAGAUCACAGGUCCUCAGUGAGCUUCCUGAUAGUUUCUGUUCCCAUCACCCUCCCACCCCGUCAGCUCCUGCCCCUGUAUCUUGGUUCACUCUCACAUUGUCAUCAUCUCUCCUUUUUACUCCAAUUUUUCUUCUUUGAUGCCAAGUUCGGAGACUGGAGAAUGCAAUUCAGCUCACUCUUGAAGUUGUUAGACAUUCAGGAGUCUGCCUCUGAAUGAGCUUUUGGUAGAGGGAUCUUGAGGCCAGUUAUGUGUUCUACUGUUCAUGAAAAAGUAAAAGCAGUUUGCAACCUAAUAAACUGAUUUCACUGCAUACUCCUGGGUUAAGAACAGCAAUUUGAUUUUGGUGUAUCUUUAAGUAACAUGUCAAAAGAGAUCUGUUGUGUCUCAUUGGUCUAAAAGAGAAUUUGUUAAUAAAUAACAACUGAACCUUGGGGGGUGGGGGCGGAAUGUUACAUAUGUACCAGACAUUAUCGACAUAAAACACUAAGUGUUAAUCAUUCCCUAGGAAGUGCUUUGAAGAAAAACUUGAGGUAUAUGAAAUGGUUUAAAAAUCAGAAACUAAACCUUUUAACGUGGACUUCAAAGCUUUGCCAUAAGCAAUUCAGCAUAUUCCUAGAAAUGUUUCUAAACCAUAACCUGAGAGAAUGUUGAUCUCCAUAGUGUAAAAAUGACUUGGGCCAGUUUAACUUGCUCUUUUUUUUAUUUUUUCACUAAUUCCCUUUUAUUUUUCUCUGAUAAUUCUUCUCUUUCCUGAGCCUCUUUAGAGCAGCACUUACAGGAUUGCCUGUGUAAAGCCUUAUUCCUGUCCCAGAAAAGGUAAAAUCCCUAAGGGCUCUGCUGUGUACUCCAGCCUUGUGACCCUUGCUUUCCAGGAACCAUGCAAGAAGUGCAGCCACCAGAAGUCCUUAUAUAGGUAUACAUAGUCCUUUGGUAACAAGUCCUUUGUUAUAUAGGUAUACAUGUGCCAUGUUGGUUUGCUGCACCCAUCAACUCUCCUAACGCUAUCCCUCCCCCAGCC
rnacentral:lncRNA from 1 species